rnacentral:rRNA from 1 species
GACGCACGCUGGCGGCGUGCUUAACACAUGCAAGUCGAGCGGAGCGGCGAACGGGUGAGUAACGCGUGAGUAACUGCCCCCCUCUCUGGGAUAACAGUUGGAAACGGCUGCUAAUACCGGAUAGUGGGGGAUGACUCGCGUCCUAUCAGCUUGUUGGUGGGGUAGUGGCCUACCAAGGAGACGACGGGGAGCGGGCCUGAUAGGGCGGCCGGCCUCAUUGGUCUGAGCUACGGCCCAAACUCUUACGGGAGGCAGCAGGGGGGAAUAUUGCACAAUGGGGGAAACUCUGAUGCAGAAACGCCGCGGGCGGGAUGACGGCCUUGGGGUUGUAAACCGCUGUCAGCCAUGACGCGGUAGUGGCAGAAGAAGCACCGGCUAACUACGUGCCAGCAGCCGCGGUAAUUC